GACGAACGCUGGCGGCGUGCUUAACACAUGCAAGUCGAACGGAAAGGCCUGCUUUCCCUUGUGGAUUGCGGGUACUCGAGUGGCGAACGGGUGAGUAACACGUGAGUGAUCUGCCCCCAACUUGGGUAUAAGCCUGGGAAACUGGGUCUAAUUCCCGAUAGGACUGCAGGGUGGUGCCUGUGGUGGAAAACGAUUUUCUAGUGGUUGGGGAUGAGCUCGCGGCCUAUCAGCUUGUUGGUGGGGUAAUGGCCUACCAAGGCGGCGACGGGUAGCCGGCCUGAGAGGGUGGACGGCCACAUUGGGACUGGGAUACGGCCCAGACUGCUACGGGAGGCAGCAGUGGGGAAUAUUGGACAAUGGGCGGAAGCCUGAUGCAGCGACGCCGCGUGGGGGAUGACGGCCUUCGGGUUGUAAACUCCUUUCGACCGCGAGGAAGCCACCUGGUUGGAAGGGUGGUGACGGUAGUGGUAGAAGAAGCACCGGCUAACUACGUG
rnacentral:rRNA from 1 species